UGCCAUAAGGUUAGUAUUACCUUAUGGCAUAUAUGUAGCAUGUAGCA
rnacentral:sRNA from 12 species